UGGGGAAUAUUGGACAAUGGGCGCAAGCCUGAUCCAGCCAUGCCGCGUGAGUGACGAAGGCCCUAGGGUUGUAAAGCUCUUUUGGCAGGGACGAUAAUGACGGUACCUGCAGCAUAAGCCCCGGCUAACUUCGUGCCAGCAGCCGCGGUAAUACGAAGGGGGCUAGCGUUGUUCGGAAAUACUGGGCGUAAAGCGCGCGUAGGCGGACUGGACAGUUGGGGGUGAAAACCCGGGGCUCAACCUCGGAACUGCCCUCAAUACUGCCAGUCUCGAGUCCGGAAGAGGUGAGUGGAAUUCCUAGUGUAGAGGCGAAAUUCGUAGAUAUUAGGAAGAACACCAGUGGCGAAGGCGGCUCACUGGUCCGGUACUGACGCUGAGGUGCGAAAGCGUGGGGAGCAAACAGGAUUAGAUACCCCGGUAGUCC
rnacentral:rRNA from 1 species